rnacentral:rRNA from 1 species
UGCCAGCAGCCGCGGUAAUACAGAGGUGGCGAACGUUGUUCGGAUUUACUGGGCGUAAAGGGUCCGCAGGCGGAUCGGUAUGUCAGAUGUGAAAGCCCACAGCUCAACUGUGGAAUUGCAUUUGAAACUGCCGGUCUAGAGUACUGGAGGGGAGAAGGGAACACUUGGUGUAGCGGUGAAAUGCGUAGAUAUCAAGUGGAACACCGGAGGCGAAGGCGCUUCUCUGGACAGAUACUGACGCUCAUGGACGAAAGCUAGGGUAGCGAAAGGGAUUAGAUA